UCCAGAUUAUGCUGGCAGUUAGAGAUCUAUUUCAUUCUCUUAAUUAUGCAGUUAAAGAUUGUGAUUAAACUAGACUUUUUUUUAUAUGUAUCACAAUCCAAAGAUUCUUCUUCUAUCCAGAAGCUACUACUGUUGACUCGGUAGAAAUACUUCUAGACCUUUAUGUACAUUUAUAUCCAACUCUAAUACUCUCCUGUUGCUGCAGUGACAGAUUACUUCGAAUCUAGUAGCUCAGAAUUACAUGAUUAUGUUCUGCGACAGUUCUAGAACCCAGUUCAGUGUGGCAUUCUUUGGGCUGAAGUCAAGGCAUUCACAGGAUGGCAUUUCUUCUGGAUGUCAGAGCCCCUCAGUACUCUUGGCAUCCACUCAGAACCAACCCCAGUUCCUGUCCUGUCUGGAGCUCUGCCUUUUCUUUACUGCCUGGUGCAUGGACACCCUGAGGGGUAUCGUGGACAGCCAGCAGCGCCUGGGUACACAAGAGACUGGGAACUACAGAAGUAAUCUACCACAUUCCGGACAAACACCGACUGUGAACCCCUAUUAUGAACUUCAUUUUGCCUCCCCAGAGUGCAACAGCAUUGGAGGCGCUCCAGGUACCCCAGUGGUGAGACAGUCUGGCUAGUCAUGACAUUUUCAACAUGGAGUCUGCCAUUCUAGGGAAGUUUUAGGUCUUAAGUCUCAGACUGGAGCUAUAUUAUUGGUCUGCCUCUUGGAUUGGGUAGUUACUAUGUUCUAUGUUCUUCCUCCUUUUCCUCUUCCUCUUCCUCCUCUUCAGCUUGAAGACAGAUUUUAGACAAACCAGCCUCCAAUUGAUAAGCUAAUCCUCGAUAUAUUUUUUUGUCUGUCUGGAUCCAUCCAUCCAUCCAUCCAUCCAUCCAUCCAUCCAUCCAUCCAUCUUGGUUUCUGUUCUCAACCUUGACUAACACAAGCCCAUUGUUCAAAUGAAGUUGUGCAUAGAUAUCAAAAUCUGAAAUGGCCUUAGCAGGGUCGUCCAAGUCUCCUAUUUUCAGCUUCUCCUUGACCUUGGCAGUGGUGGCUCCCAUACCUUUUUAUAACUGUAGAAUAAAGCCAUUAAUCUGACUGUAAAAGAUGGCUAAGAGCCAAUAGUUUUAAAGUGUCAUUAAAUACCAGAUUCACUAUAUAUAACACAUUGACUUUUACCAGAUAUGGCUUAUUAUUAUAGCAUAUUAUAGGUUAUAUUGUAUAUAACAUAUAGAUUAUAGAUUAUUUCCACAGGCUUUAACCAGAUAAAAAGUGAAUGCAGGUUUUAAGUUUUUACUAAAUAUUGAUAAGAUAGAGACUCUUACUAGACUAUGUGCUAUUAGGAGAACCUCAGGUUCAGGGUAAGUGUAGAACAUGAGUGAAUGAAGGCUCCCUUCACCAGAUGCUCAUAAGUGUGCCACCUUUGUCCAGGGACUCUAGGCAGUACCCUCUGCAGUCUGGUAGCUGUCUGAGUGGAGCUUUGUAUAUAUGGGGGAUGAUUUGGUUCCCUGGACAGGAUCCCAAAACACAAGGGUUUGCAGGUUCUUGGCCUAAGUUUCAGCCUAAUAUUCCAGGUAACUAUUGAAAUGAAUCUACAAAACCUUCUCUUUUCCUGAAGCAAGAGAGAAAUGGGGGACGGAGGAGACAAAACACAAUGAUAAGUUAAUGGAUCAGGCUAGUCACAUUCUGGAAUCCAGUCUGUUGCCUGUGAGAUAUCUGUUCACAUAUUUUUGAGUUGGCUCAGAGCCUCUCCUUCCUCCCCCCCUGCAUCAAGAAAAACUGACAGUUUCCUCUUUCUUCUGGGAGCCAUUAUGCCUCCGCCCACACAAACCCAGAGGAGAACCCCUGUCUGGAGGUGCGGUCACGUGGCCAGCAGAUAAGCUCUGAUCCUUGACACAGGCUUAGGUGUUGAUCCCAUCUGAGCCAAGGCUUGGUGAGUUACUAUUAGGAGAAAGCCUUUUCUAAAUGCUCCGGCUCCACAGUUCUCAGGGAAAGCAGGGAGGAUUUGACUGAAUACUUCUGGAAUCUUUUUCUUCUCUUUCUUCAUUAACCAUUGAGAUGAAACAGUUUCCGGUCUCUCAUUCUGCUCCAGGCAGAAAAAAAAAGCCAAUUUGUCUUUAUGUAUUAAUGAAUUUGCCAAUUCAUUCAUUCCCUGACUCAUUCCCUCAUUCUUCGAUUGAAUUACAUGUCAGGCAUUGUACAAAACCAUGGAGAGUCAGAAACAAGCAAACAAAUCUAUAUAGUGAUUCUGUGGUCAUAUGAGUUAAGAAAAACCUAAGUGUAUGUUGUAUGUCUUUUUCUAAAUAAAGAAUUCAAAAGUUUAAAGCUUUUUCUUAGAAAAACCUGUUAUGAAGGCUUUUGUGAUAAAAUUUAAAGUAUAAUAAUGGAUGGUAGUGGUGGGAUGGGCAAAGGAGAGUAGGAAAUCCUAGGGGACUAAAGGCUGCCGAAUGCCAUUUCAAGGGACACAAGAAACAGCAAUGAUUGUUCUGUGGUGGUUUUACUUGGUGCCCAUGAGGAGUAAGAGGAAUGCAGAUCCUUUGGGAAGCAAGAAGCGAGAACAAACAACCUUUUGAGAAAUCCGAAGGGAAAUGCCUUAAAGGUGCUACUCAGUGAAUGUGUAAUAAUCCAGAGAAGGCAAAGCAAGGCAUUUUCCCCUCACCUCACCCCUUCAUUAGCAGAGAGGAUCAUAGAGCUUAUUCAUAAAUGGUAUGCUUUCUAACAGUUUGAGUCAAGGCUAGAAAAGCUGCCUAGGUAGCAUAUGCCCAUAGAAGCUAGGUAACAUCAAAAUAGUGUGACAGUUAGGGUUUCUAUAGCUGUGAUAAAGCACCAGGAUCCAAAGUAAUGUAUCAAAGGUUACAUCGGUCUGUGGGUAUGGAGGGCUAAGAGUUCAGCACUGUCAUGGUGAGGUAAUGUGGCAGAAGACAGGCAUGGUGUCCGGAGCUGCAUCUGGGUGUUCACAUCUCAAACUCAAACAGGAAGACCGAAAAUGGUGCCAAGUCUUUAAACUUUCAAAACUGGACCUCAGUGACGUACUUCCUCCUCCCAAACCACAUCACCUAAGCUUUCCAAGAAGGAUCACUAAUUAGAGACCAAGUAUUUAAAUGCCAGAGAAAUGGCUGACAUCUCAUCCAAACCAUCAUAGUUAUUAUCUACCAAUCCACCGUCUGUCUCCCCAACUUGAGAUUCUUACAAAUUAGGAACUUGGUUCUAUUCACUAACAAGACCAAUAAUUCCAAUGCUUUUUCAGUCCCCAAAGCACUGCUUGAGGCCUUCAGCCCUAAUUUGAUGACUCUUAAUCUACCCCUCUCCCCCUGAUCUAGAGAAUGUCCCACGCUUUCUUUUUGACUAUGGGCUGGAUUCUGACUUUUAUUUUCACUAGUAGAACGUAAUGGAAGGAAGACUGUGUACUUUGAGUGUUUGAGUCUUAGAAGGUUUUUAUCUUUGCCCUGGUGGAAUCCUCAGGCUAUGCUGGUGGGGAGACCAUGUGGAGAGCAUUGAGAAUCAGAGCAGACGAGGGAAGAGAGGCUCUGUUAUACAUGGGGGUUUUGUGAUUACUGGACAACUAUGGAUAUGGAAUGAUCUGUUAUCCCACAGGUUCCACUGGGCUACCGUAGCUAGUGCCACACAGAAUAAACCUAGUUGUCCUUUCUAGUACUUACCAUGAUUGCAGAAAAGUGACCAAGAAGUCAUUGUGUAUAUUUUUAAGUGGUCAGAUCUAGAGUGAUAAGUAACAGAAACUGACAACAGACAGGGAGCACACACAGCUGUAUAGACAUGAAUGAAUGCAAUGUGAAUGAAUGCAUGACUGACAGAGUGAAUGAAUUGUCCUUUCCAGGUUUCUGGUAGCAGAAACCGGGUCAAUUGAUGUGUACUUGGCACUGAGUUGAGUUGUCGAGCAGAUGUAGCUGACAUAAACACUUUAUAACCAGUUUGUACUAGGCUGAUAAUAUAUAUCAGUGCUCCUUAGUAGAUUUCUGGGAAAAUCCUUCCCAUUUAGCAGAUUGAAAAGCACAGUUAUGAGGAUAUCAGGUAAGUUCUGUGGACAAAGAACACACAGGCUCUUGAGAUAUAGAUGGGGGUUGGGUGAUGAGAUAGUUUUCUGGGGUUGUCACAGAAGACUUCAGAGGUGACUGCUUCUGAGAACCGAGGCUGUCCCUCAGCAUAACCUGUCACAGAGAACAUGGUCCAAGUGAUAGCAAAAAGAAAAAAAAAUAAAGGAAAUCUCAAAUAGGAUAAGUUGGGAAGUUGGGAACCUUCAUAGGAUUACAAGCUGCUUCUGGGACAAUUUGAUUCGGUGGUUCUCACUGACAGUUCUAGGACUCCCAUGUGACUCAGGUUCUGGGUUGGGUCACUUCAUGGAAGAGAUUGGUGAGGACUGAGUCUGGAUGGACGUCUUGGCCUCUGAGGGCAUGGGAAGUAUUGGAGGAGUUUGAACAGAGAUUUGAUGUCAUGGGGCCUGGCAUUCAGAUUUUAAAUAUUUGAAAGAUGGGUGGAGCUUUCAAAUCUGACUGUAACCCCAUACAGUAGGCUGUGUCCUUGACAGCUUGCAGAAAGACAAGGGCAUUUCUGUGGGAGAGCAGGUGUUCUCUCCCUGUUCAUUUUCUAUGGUGCUUAGAAAUCCUCAAGGUGCUGGUGCUAAUAUCAUUAAUUUGUCCUUCAGGUGCUUCUAUGAGUAACAGAUUUUUGGGGUAGGAUAUUGGUUUUGUGAUUGGUGCCAAAGAUUCCUCACUUGACCACACUUUAGCGAGUAGCUAUCCCGAAACUUCUAGGCAGUCUAUAUACUCUUUGUAAAUUCUAGCUUUGGCAAAGAAUCCUGCUAAGCCUAUCUAAUAAGAACUUUCACUUGUGCUCAAUCAAGACCUCGCCCUCCUCUUCCCCAGGGGAUGUCUGGUCACUCAGACCUGUCUUGACUAAGCAUCCGGUUAGGUGGGAUUGCCCAGGCUCCUCCAUUGAUAUUCCUUAGUUAUUUUUUAUCCACUGAUGUACCUUCUAUUCCUUGGUAUUAUAGUUUCACGCUCUCAAUGUAUUCAGAGCAAGCUUCCUUUUUCUUUCAUGCACUGCAGACUCUCUCUGUGGUUGUUACUACAUUUAUCAUGAAGGUCUGGAGUAAAAUCUUUUGUUACCAAGCAUUUCUGAGUAAUUUUCUUUUCAAAGUUAUAAAAUAAAUUAAUAGUGCUUCAAUGCUCUAUAAAUACCUGUGUGGAAUGAACAUUAAAAAAAUAGAAUCUCCAAGAAAGGAGGAGGUUUCAGAGACAGUUUUAAAAUGCAUAUGUGUUAGAAAAUUGUGAUUUCUUGUGCUAUGUUUCUCAGAUUACAAAACAAAAUGGUAGGUGAUGUCUGUGAGUGGGUUAUCCCCUGCUCUGUGAUGUCUAUGAGUGAGCUAGCCUCUGCUCUGGGAUGCAAUAGACUUCAGAAACCUGAGAAAGUUCGUUUAUUUCUUUGAUUCCUGGGAUUUAUUACAUUCUUAAUCAGGUAGAAAGAACUGCAAGAUAUCUUCCAAUUUCAAAUGAAGGCAAAAUUUAUGAGCAGUCAUUCGCACUGGCCCUCUCUUCUGGAGACCAUUUCAUUUAGAGUUGACAUUUAGAGUUGGGAUUGAUUUAUCCCCAUAGUUCAGUGCCACACAGACAGGGGAGAGCAAAGGUGUGUGUGUGUGUGUGUGUGUGUGUGUGUGUGUGUGUGUGUGUGUAGUGUUUAUUAGGCCAAGCUCAAGACUGAUAGUAUCUGAGAAAGCGUGGGCUCCGAGUGUCCUGUUCAGUCUUCCAACUGGCUGUACCAGAAGCAGUACCUGUCCAAAGCCAAGCCAAGCCCAUCUAGAAUAUCUUUGAGAACACAAAACAGGAAUUCAGUGAUACAGAAAGACUUAAAGUUUGCAUCCUCAUCUCAUUCCCACACAAUCAUGUCCCUCUAAACUCUCCCUAGAACUUUUUCUAACUGGAGCCACAACAGAUUUUCUUUGCCUUUUUUUCCCACUUAUUUUUAGUUUAGCUCAGUGUGUGUGUGUGUGUGUGUGUGUGUGUGUGUGUGUGUGUGUGUUAGAGGUCAUCCUCAGAUCCUGUUCAGGUACCAACUACUUUUUUCUUUGAAACAGGAUCUCUCACUGGCCUGAAAGUCACUCAUUACAUCAGAUUUCUAUCUCAGUUGGGAUUUAUUGCUCAGAAGAGACACCAUGACCAUGGCAGCUUUUUAUAAAGCAUGACAUUUUAUUGGGGAUGGCUUAUAUUUUAGAGAUUUAGUCAUUACUGUUAUGGCGGGAAAAAAUGGCAAUAUCCAGGCAGACAUGGUGCUAGAGAAGUAGCUGAGAAUUUUACAUCUUGAUCUGAAAGGAGAGACUGUGAGCCAUAUUGAGUAUAGCUGGAGCAUUGGGGCCCUCACAGUGACACACAUUCUCCAGCAAAGCCUUACAUACUUCAACAAGGCCACUCCUAAUAGUGCAAGUGCCUAUGGGCCAAGCAUUCAAACUCAUGAGUUCAUGGGGUCAUACAUGUCAAACCACCACAGCUUCCUAGCCAAUGAGCUUCAGUACUCGUCUUCACCAGUCUAGCACUGGGACCCAAUAUGUGCUUUCAUACUUGGCUUUAUACUUAGCUCCUUAUCGUGCUGAUCAAAAUCAUCUUCCUCCUCUUAUCUGAACUGAACUAGACAAAGACAAGCUAUGAUUGAAUUUAAUUGUAAUUCUUUCUCCUUCAAUGGGAGGCCAUGGGGAUGAUCAGAAAGGGUUCCGAGUUCUGAACUUCAUGUGCUCACAGGUCCUCUGAGAAUUCUGCCUUGACUAUAAGGAUAAGCUUGUAGAAGGAUGAGAAGCUAUAGAUCAGAGAAAAUUCAUCACCACUGAGACUGUUCUUUACUAGGCAGAAGUUAGGCCAAUCUGCUCCAGCAGAACCUUCCAGCUAUCCUGCAGAACCAAGCUACUUGGUUGGCACUGAGGUGGGAAAGGUAACCAAGGACAGUGCUUCACCAUCUUUUUGUGUUCGUGUUCUAGUGUGUGAGGACGUAUGUACAUGUACAUGGAGAGAGGAGGUCAACCUUGAACAUUGCCUUCUUUUUUGAGACAGAAUCUUUCCAUGAGACAGAGUCUUCUCACUACUGGGGACUGCAUGCCACCACUCCUGACUUUUUAGGCUGGUGCUAGAGAUCAAAUUUUGGUUUUCAUGAAUGGAAGAUAACCAUUUAUGUACUGAGCUCUUUAGCUUCCAAUCCCGACUAUUUUAAAGCUAUCACAACUUAGGGCAAGGUCUAACUUCAAUCUCAUCUCAUCUAAAUGGAAAUCUUUGAUUCUUCAAACCCACUCAAUUCUGCUUUCGGUAAUUUUUAUUAGAUACCAGUCUUAAUUUGUAUCUUGCAUUGUCCUCAUUUUUCUCUUUUAUAAAAAGGAUUCCUAUUGUUAUUUUGCUAUCUGAUUUCUCCAAAAUAACAUCUUACUACACCACCAAUGGUCAUUACAAAGUCCUGGGGUCAGCAUCUGUCUUAGGAUGGGAUGUGCACCCAUCCUAAGACCUCACUGACUAAAUAGUGUUGCUUUCUGGUUAUAAAUUCUGCUAAUUGCUUGCCUGGGGAAUGCUCUAGAAGGAUAAUACUAACCAUUUUGCUGUCCUUUCUAAUUGAUGAGUGUUUUUGCAACCCUUGAUGCCUAGCUUCUUCACCUCAUUUCUUCCUGACAACUUCCAGGCAAGUUUCAUUCAUUGUAAACCUUAGGGAGCCCGUUUAAUUUCCCAAUUACUUUCCCCGUUAAGAACAUUCUAGUUAUCUGUAUCUAACCCAAAUUUUCCCUUCUGUAGUUUCAGACCAUUUCUCUUUAGUCUACAGUCUGAAAGGAAGAGUAUUUCCCCUGAUUCAUUUGUUUAUGAUCACAAAGCUAGCUGUUUAUGUACAGUUUCUGCUUCCCAUGGAGUCUCUGCUUUUGGUUAUUUGGGAGAGUGAGAUUUACCCAUCUAUUUAUUCCCUGUACCUGAAUUCUUCCUUUACAAACCUCUAUGAUCUUUCUAGGUGUUGUAUUUAGGGAUUUUUUUCUUUCCUGGUUGAUGUACACUAAUUGCUGUCAUUUAUGAAAUGUUUAUUCGGUAUGUGAGUUAUUGGGUAAACAAGGUUGGAUACAUUACAUUUUGAGGUGGGUGCUCUUAUUGACAUUAGAAUGUAAAGAAACUGAGUUUUAAAAGAUUUGAGUAUCAUCACAAGCCCACCUCCCUGGGCAGUGGUAAGAUUGCACUGGUCAUUCACCAAAGUGAUUGCAUCUUUAGGGUGGAAUCACCAGAGUUCAAGCCUGAUCCUACUGUUGUCAGAGAGGUGAACAUGUGAUAACUCUUAAAUUUUCUAAUGACACUACUGCCUCAUUUUGAGAGUCAAAGAAAAAAAUCAUGUAUCUGUACUUGCUUAGCCUGGGCUUUUGUACUGGUCAUUCAUGGGUGAGGCUAGGAUGGUUAUAACUAUCAUAGCUAGCACUCAGGCUGGGGAUUAGCUUAUCUUGGGAUUAUUAGCAACACAGGACAAGAUACCUGGAUGUUCAGUUGGGGUCAUAAUAAUGGAAGUUAUAUAAAUGCUAUGAACACUUUAUCUUUUAUUAUGCUUGAAUUCAUCAUCAAAUUAGUCUCUUUAGAGACAUGGUCAUUAUGUAGUCCUGUUUUGCCCGAAACUCUCUAUGUAAACCAGAUUGGCCUUGAACUCAUAGAGGUCCACUUGCCUUUCCUUCCCCGAGUACUGAGAUUAAGAGCAUGUGCCAACAUGCUCAGCACAUUGCCUCUCUCUUACACUAUAUCCUCAAUGCUGAGUGUGUUCUAGCAUAUAAGAGGUAAUCAGGGAGAACUGGUGGAAUGAGCAAAUUAUAAUGACAUUACAAUAUAAUUUAGUUAGACAAUGACCUCAAAUGCAGAAAACCCAUACAUGGUUCAUCCCACUUAAUUCACUGUCUACAUAGUCAACUUUCCACUUUGCCAUUCCGGAUGAUUUAUAUCUUCUAAACUAUACAAAUGCCAUUACCAGAAAAUUAAAAGUAAGUGGUUAUUGGAGAAAUGUUCAAAGGACAAUGAGUGCAUGGGGAAAUGUGUUUUGAUAGACAGCUAGUAAGAAGCAGAUGUGGCAAUUACCUUCACUUUCUACUGGGUGCUUUAGAUGUCACUGGAUGAACUUAAGUUCUGGGACAGAGAUUCACCAAUUCAGGUAACAUCCAAGGGUUCUGAAAAUGCCGAGUAAAUGGUUCUAGAAACUUACUGUAUAUUGUCUCUCAGUAAUGAAAAUGUUUUUGACAUAUUACUGGCUUCCAGAACUCUGCCUCACUCUGCGGGCAUGUGGGGUCAUGCUAGAAACCUACACUGAUCUCUUCAAGUCAGUCCUCUUCGAUGUGGAGAAAGAAAAGCACUCCUCCAUUGUUGGUGGGUUUGCAAACUGGUAAAACCACUCUGGAAAUCAGUCUGGAGGUUCCUCAGAAAAUUGGACAUUGCACUACCUGAGGACCCAGUUAUACCUCUCUUGGGCAUAUACCCAAAAGAUGCUUCAACAUACAGAGGUGAAUGCUAGCAGCAAACCAUUGAACUGAGAACGGGUCCCCCAUUGGAGGAAUUAGAGAAAGGAUUAAAAGAGCUGAAGGGGCUUGCAACCCCAUAAGAACAACAGUGCUAACCAACCAGAGCUUGCAGGAACUAAACCACUGCCAAAGACUAUACAUGGACUGAUCCAUGGCACCAACAGCAUAUGUAGCAGAGGAUGGCCUUGUUGGGCACUGGUGGAAGGAUAAGCCUUUGGUCCUGCCCAGUGUAGGGGAAUGUGGGGGGGCGGAGAAGGCAGGUGGUUGGGGAGGAGAACACCCUUAUAGAAGAAGUGGAGGAGGAUGGGAUAGGGAGCUUAUGUCCAGGAAACCGGGAAAGGGAAUGGCAUCUGAAAUGUAAAUAAAAAAAAAUCCAAAAAAAAAAAAAAAAAAGAAGUCAGUCCUCUUCCUUAAUGGAGAAGUACAUCAUUGGUUGUGAUACACAUGGAUCCAACUAGGCUUAGUUAGCCAAAGAACUUCUGUUGUGUGACAUCAUUCUCUCGCACAAAGUUGAUAUCAUAUCAUCAUAACUCUGCUUUUUCUUUUCCAAACUUAGUGUCCAGAGAAAAACCCUUCAGGGAAUAUUAUGAUAGGCAAAAACUUCAGUGCUAUUUGUGCAAUCUGGGCUGAUUAAAGGCAAUGGGUAUAGGUGUAAUUAUUUUGACUCAUAAUGGGUUGGAGAUCUUUCCUUAGAUCUAUUAUUGGGUCCAGUGUAUGAAGUACAUGUACUUCUCAUUUUACAGCAUCUGCUGGAGAGAAUGUAUGGUACAGGCACACAGGACCUAUGGUCACUGACGAGCUGCAUGACCUUGACAAGUCAUUUCAUUUUUCAUACUCAAGAUCACUGUCCUAGUUAUCUUUGCAUGACAACUGGACACAGCCUUGAGUCAUCUGAGUCCACCAACUAGAUCAGAUUAGUCUGUGGACAAGUCUAAAGAGGACUUCCUGGGUUGUUAAUUAAAGUAGGAGAGCCCAGACUCUUCUUCCUCCUAAGGAUGAUGUAUGGCAUCAUUCCUCAAGGAAAUAAUCUUGGCCUGCAUAAGAGAUUUAGCUAAGUAUGAGCCUUGUUAUCAGCAUUCCUUCACGGUUUCUACAUCAAGUUACUGCCCUGACUUCACUCAAUGAUGGACUGUAAUCUGUAAGCUGAAAUAAGGCCUUUCUUCCCCUAAGCUGUUUUGGCCAGAGUUUUUUUUAUCAUAGCAACAGAAAGCCAACAUAGACAUUAGACAUAGAAAGUACUACAUAGACAUUAGACAGUGUGAAUAUUUGUACAUAUAAUCAUAUAUACAUGCAUAUGAUCUAUAAACAUACAUAUAAUAUAUGUGUUUAUUAGUUACCUCAGAUUCACAAUGUCCACAAUGUUACUGCUCCUGUUGCUAGGACAGUGCCUGAUACAUAGCAAGUGUUAGGCAAGCCUGCUAGCUCACUAGUUAUUAGUAGAGCCAAACUGGGAGGAGUGGUUUCCCAAGGGAAGGAGCUUGGGUUGUCACCUCAACUGUCUAUGUCAUUUCAUUGCAAGAUUUGUGGUGUGGCCAAAUGUCUUUGUCUUUUAGCUCAGCUCCCUGCUAAUGGAACCUACUGACACUGCUCAUAUUUGAAUUCAGAAGGAUCCAAUAGGCAUCUGAGCCAUGGAUCUAGGGCAUUGCCAAUCUUUCUGGCCAAAGCCAGGCUUGGUAUGUUAGGGGUGAACUUGUGUAGGAAACCAAGUAACUUUUUCAUCUUUCAUGUCAAUGUAACUUUGGACUCAGGAAUGCAACCCAGGCUACACACAGUGUGCAGUUCUUCAGGAUGACAAAUUGAAACAGUGUCAAAGCUCUCUUUCUUCUUGUCCCUGGAUGAAAGAUAAAGAUUAACCACACCAUAAGCAAACAGCCUGAUUUCCUUACUUGUGCUUGAUUAGAAACUGAAUUUAGGAUUACCCAUAAUCCAACUGUAGACUCAAGGCAGUUUUAGUCCUUGUCAGCAACACUGACAAGGUUAAUCAAUAUGCACACAGUGUGAUACUCUGAUUGAUAGGGACAUCUAGUGGACUCCAGUUCUAUUGUCCCAAAGAAUGAGAGGUCUUGUGAGUGAGUCCCUAGGUCUCUUGAAAAAUACAUGCAACAGUGACACCUUGGCUUAUAAAAUCUUUCGUGGUCCCUGUUGCUGUCAGGAUACAAUUUGAAGUCCCUUUUGAGGACCUGUAAGAAUUCUUUUUUGUAUUAUGGUGCCUCACUACACAGUACUAUCUAAAUUAACUGAAAUUUAAAGUUUAACUAAAUUGGAAAGUUGAGUUUCUCAAGUGCACUGACCUCAGUUCUAGCUAUGAAAUAACCUCAUUGCUUCUGGGAGCAUGGAGAACACAUCAUUGUCAUAGGCCAAUUGGUUAGUCCAACCCUGCCUGCUCAUGUGUUUAUCAGAGUACAGACACUGCCUCUGGGAUCAUCUUUCCCAUUUUCCCCAGUGCAUAGCUCUUUCUCACCGUCAUUCACAUUUCCCUCUUUGCCUCUCCAAGUCCUUACGUUGCAGGUUAAGCUACUUUCUCUGAUCAUUACCUCCAAUCAAAAUUCUUUGUCUCAACUAGUUCCUCUUCUAUCAGACUCAUCUAUUUUCUCAUUUAAGGAUUUUCAUGGAUACAGCCAUGACCCUUGACUCUAAGUGGUAAGCUCACAAAUGCAGUCAGACUUUAAAUAACCCCAAUGUUCAACAUAUCCGAGGUUUUCCAUCAAUAGCUGUUGAAUAAAUGAAUGUUUGAUUGGACAAGUCCUUCUAUGUGAUACCUCCCAAUGAUACAUUUUUGAAGUGUUCAGACAGAAGGGACAAAGACUGAUUUUCUCAUUCCAUCCCCCAUUGUCCUCUGAAAUGACAACUUUGAAAUUCUGGUUUCUUUAAAGAAAAAAAUCCCAUAAAAACAUUAUAAGAAAGUGUUUUUGUUUUAAUCCUAGGUUUAGGGAUAUGUGCUGCUUCAUAUUGUCCAUAGCAGCUGAAUAUGAUUUGCCUCAUGCUCUAGAAGAGGCGUAGUUUUGCCAGCUGCAGAUAGUGUCUGUGACUGUGUGGCAUUCGGAAUUCUGGAAACUCUGCAGAGGGUGUAUAAAUGCUAGGACUCCGCCCCCCUCCAAGAACGGUGCAUUGCUCAGCCAUCAUUAGAGAAGCUUCCUCCGGCAGCUGAUGGAGCAGAUUCAGAGACACACACCCAAACAUUAAGUGGAUGUUGGGAAACCCAGUGAAGAAGAAAGGGAAGAUUGUAGGAGCCAGAGGGGUCAAGGAUACCAGGAGAACAUCAUCUACAGAAUCAACUAAUGAAGGCUCCUAGGGGCAGACACUGAAGUGGCAACCACAGAAUCUGCAUGGGACUGCCCUUUUCCCUCUGCAAAUCUGUUAUAGUUGUGGGGCUUUGGUUUGCUGGACUUCAAACAGUGCGAACAGGGCUCUCUCCGACUCUUUUGCCUGCUCUCGGGACCCUUUCCUCCUACCAGUUCACAGAUAAAGAAGUUAAAACCCAGAGAGGGCAAUUGUUCCCCAAAGAUAGAGUGACUUACAAGAAGGAGAAGCAUCCUGGUUUCCCCAGUACUCAGCAGUGUCCACCUGGUCUUCCAAAGAGAGGUGGAAACAGGAGGCAGGCAGGAAGCAAUGUGCCAAAUGGAUGGGGCCGUCAUUCCACCCUGGCUUUUCUGCAUGUUUGCUGGAGUGAUUACGAUUUAUGGCCAAUGAUGAAGAGCUUCAUUUUUAAGAUGGUAAAUGAGAGAGAGCCACGACAAAGGAAAUGGGUUCUGACCUCGCAGACAAGGCUAAACACCAUGCUCCGUAUACUUUAUUCCCAGAGUGCAAAGCACAAACCUGAACCUAAGUCAUUGCUGCUUUAGGAAGAGCCAUGUCCAUCUUGGAGAAACUGAGAAUAUGCAAACAUAUAGAAAAGUUAGUAGGAGCAAGGAUUCUUGAGCUUGGCUUUUCUAUGCUACAUCCUGUUCAGAGGGGUAAGAACCUGAACUCCAGCCAGCAGAAACGUUGCAAUCUUAUUGGAGUCACCAGACUGGAAGACCCAGCUGGAAUGAUUGUAGCAACAAUGGAGCAUCCUUGUGCAUCGCUUCCCACACAUUUCAGGGUCAGCCCAGCCUGGCACAUGACCAUUGUCAUGCAUAUUUAAGGUAGUUGAAGAGGCUGGGAUGAUAGUAAAACCAAGAAGAAAUUGUAAGGCUCUGUGUCAGCCUCUUUGCUGCCGCUGUAUAUCAGAGGACCUCCUCUGGAUCACAUGUAGUUCUGGGAAACUUCAAGUCAGGAGCUAAAUCAACAAAGAGGCCAGAGCUGGGCAGAUAUCAGCAACAGACGCCUCAGUAGAGUGGCAGGCACAUUCAUGGUUCCUUCACCCAUCAGAAGCAUGGCCCUGGCAUCUGUGUCAAAAAGUGGCAGAAAUGCUGUCACCCAGAGCAGUCCUUCAUUAUAACUUGAGGAUUAUUCCUGAUUUGUAGCUGUCAAGUGCUAUUCUUGGCUUGCCAAAAAAUUUCUAGAGCUCUUCUAAUUAAACCACUUAAAAUAAAGGCUACAACUGCUUCAGCA